rnacentral:rRNA from 1 species
AGUCGAACGCGAAAGUGGAGCAAUCCAUGAGUAGAGUGGCAAACGGGUGAGUAACACGUGGGUGACCUGCCUUCGAGUGGGGGAUAACGUCCCGAAAGGGACGCUAAUACCGCAUAAAAUGCUGUCUUUUAAGAGAGGGACAUCAAAGCCGGGGACCGUAAGGCCUGGCGCUUGAAGAGGGGCCCGCGCCUGAUUAGCUAGUUGGUGGGGUAAUGGCUCACCAAGGCAACGAUCAGUAUCCGGCCUGAGAGGGCGGACGGACACACUGGGACUGAGACACGGCCCAGACUCCUACGGGAGGCAGCAGUGGGGAAUUGUUCGCAAUGGGCGCAAGCCUGACGACGCAACGCCGCGUGGAGGAUGAAGAUUUUCGGAUCGUAAACUCCUUUCGAUCGAGACGAAUGGCCUCUGGGCUAACAUCCCGGAGGAAUGGCGGUACCGAGAGAAGAAGCCCCGGCUAACUCCGUGCCAGCAGCCGCGGUAAUACGGGGGGGGCAAGCGUUGUUCGGAAUUACUGGGCGUAAAGGGCUCGUAGGCGGCCAACUAAGUCAUACGUGAAAUCCCUCGGCUUAACCGGGGAACUGCGUCUGAUACUGGAUGGCUUGAGUUCGGGAGAGGGAUGCGGAAUUCCAGGUGUAGCGGUGAAAUGCGUAGAUAUCUGGAGGAACACCGGUGGCGAAGGCGGCAUCCUGGACCGAUACUGACGCUGAGGAGCGAAAGCCAGGGGAGCAAACGGGAUUAGAUACCCCGGUAGUCCUGGCCCUAAACGAUGAAUGCUUGGUGUGGCGGGUAUCGAUCCCUGCCGUGCCGAAGCUAACGCAUUAAGCAU